UACAGGGGGGCAAGCGUUGUUCGGAAUUACUGGGCGUAAAGGGCUCGUAGGCGGCCAACUAAGUCGGAUGUGAAAUCCCCAGGCUUAACCUGGGAACUGCAUCCGAUACUGGAUGGCUUGAAUUCGGGAGAGGGAUGCAGAAUUCCAGGUGUAGCGGUGAAAUGCGUAGAUAUCUGGAGGAAUACCGGUGGCGAAGGCGGCAUCCUGGACCGAGAUUGACGCUGAUGAGCGAAAGCUAGGGGAGCAAACGGG
rnacentral:rRNA from 1 species